rnacentral:rRNA from 1 species
UACGUAGGGAGCAAGCGUUGUCCGGAUUCACUGGGUGUAAAGGGUGCGUAGGCGGGAGAGUAAGUCCGCGGUGAAAUCUCACGGCUCAACCGUGAAACUGCCGUUGAUACUGCUUUUCUUGAGUUCGGGAGAGGUUGAUGGAAUUCCAGGUGUAGCGGUGAAAUGCGUAGAUAUCGAGAGGAACACCUGCGGCGAAGGCGGGUUGCUGGGCCGACACUGACGCUGAUGCGCGAAAGCCAGGGGAGCGAACGGG